GCCAAUUGGGCAGCCCGAUGCGCUGGCAACAUUUGUUGCCAGCAGCUUGGCAACAUUUGUUGCCUGCGCGCUGUCGCCCAAUGCCAUUGCCAAUGAUUGGCCAUUAGCAAUUAUUAACGCAAUUAUUAUUGCAUCGUGUUCUGGCUGCCUUCAGCCUCGUCUCCAUUCGAAACUAACGAGCCAAAAUUAGGUAAACGAAUUAUGAGACUAUGGCCCAGUUCGUAGCGCCUCGCCUUUGUUGCACUUUCCCCAGCUCCAUUAUCAUCAUCAUCAUCAUCAUCGUGUCAUUAUUGUCAUCAUUUUUAUCAUCAGCCCCAUUUGCAUUAUGUAAAUCAUGUUCGCUUUGUCCCUAUUCGCCGCUCCGCUUGUGGCUUAAUUUCAGUUUCUUAUUGCAGUUAAUUAAGUGCAACUUGAGCUUUUUACCAACCAGUACCGUCCCUCCCUCUUCCCAUCCCCUCUCCCCCAAUCCCUCUCGUGCCAUGUUGCAAGCUGCUUAAUUUAUGCACGAAGCGAUUCCGUCUCCAUUGCUGAUGAUGUGCAUGUCAAAGCGCUGACAAUCAGAUGACAAUUCCAGCCAUGAUAAUUCCAGCUAAUUGCCUCAAAUUCUGCCGUCAAUCAACUUUGGUGUAGGGCCUGACGCCAUAACAGUCUCUCCUGAUAUCGAACAGCUGAAUGGGACUGCGAAAUGCUUUGUUAACUCGGGAAUGUGCGACUGAAGAAAGACAAAUGAAUGAUUGAAGAAGAAUGACUGAUGAAAUGCUAUGUAUAAGCCAUGGCGGAUGCCUAGUGACAAUAUAAAGCUGAAGUAUGUCGAUGAAUGCCUUAUAAAAGCUUGAUGUACGCAUGAUGUACGCUUGAUGCAAGUCAGCAGAUGCCUGUUGUAUGCUUAAUGUGAGAACGAUGGAUGGAACCCGAUAGAUGCCUGAUGCAAGUCUGGAUGCCUGUUAGAUAUGUGAUGUAUGUAUGAAUGACGGGACGCGUAUCCUGACGAAUUUAUGUUUACCUCAUCGAUACGGGAAUAGAUGUGUGCUUGAUGUAUAACAAAUAGAUGAGGCUUGGAUAGAUGAUGAAUAGGUAGAUCUCUUGUAUUUAUUGACAGGUAAUAAGAUUGUAUUGAUGAUGUAUGGCUGAUGCCUGAAAGGUUCCAGUUAAAUGUCGAGUGUUCAAACGGUUGCUCCAUCAAUGCUUUAUUUAAAAUAUGAAUUUGAUAUAUGCCCGAUUUAUGCUUGCUGGAAGAGCUGACGCAUGUUUGCCGUGCUUCAAUCAGUUCAUAAUUGCGACUUAUUGAGUUUGCAUACUGUAUUGAAAAAACUGGACUGGACUGGAUUGGACUGGACAUUGGCUU
rnacentral:sRNA from 1 species